rnacentral:misc_RNA from 1 species
AAGUCGUAACAAGGUUUCCGUAGGUGAACCUGCGGAAGGAUCAUUAACAAAUUCCAAUUUACACACCGUGAAUCGGCCUCAUGCGUGCUGCCUUGGCGGCUGCUGCUGGCAUUAAACACAUUGUUGUCUGAACACAUAUACACUUGCUCGGGCCUUGUGCUCGCAGCAUGUAUUGUAAUUAAUAACUAUUACAACUUUUAACAAUGGAUCUCUUGGCUCUCGUAUCGAU